rnacentral:piRNA from 1 species
UGGCAACCCUAUGUUGGUCCC